rnacentral:rRNA from 1 species
CCUACGGGAGGCUGCAGUGAGGAAUAUUGGUCAAUGGCCGCAGGGCUGAACCAGCCAAGUCGCGUGAGGGAUGAUGGUCCUAUGGAUUGUAAACCUCUUUUGUCAGGGAGCAAAGGGCGCCACGUGUGGCGCUUUGCGAGUACCUGAAGAAAAAGCAUCGGCUAACUCCGUGCCAGCAGCCGCGGUAAUACGGAGGAUGCGAGCGUUAUCCGGAUUUAUUGGGUUUAAAGGGUGCGCAGGCGGAAUGUCAAGUCAGCGGUAAAAUUUCGGGGCUCAACCCCGUCGUGCCGUUGAAACUGGCGUUCUUGAGUGAGCGAGAAGUAUGCGGAAUGCGUGGUGUAGCGGUGAAAUGCAUAGAUAUCACGCAGAACUCCGAUUGCGAAGGCAGCAUACCGGCGCUCAACUGACGCUCAUGCACGAAAGCGUGGGUAUCGAACAGGAUUAGAUACCCUUGUAGC